UUCAGUCACUACCUUAGAGCCUGUUUUAUUUUUUCUUAAUUUUAUUGACUCAUUUAUAUCUCAGCCCUUUUUAUUACAAAUUAUUUAUUGUUUAGUCACUGCCUUAGAGCCUGUUUUAUUUUUUCUUAAUUUUAUUAAAGGAUGAUAUUGAUGAUGAAAUGUCUUACGAUGAUCAUUUAGAGGUUUAUUUUGAACAACUGGCAAUUCCAGGAAUGAUGGAAUAAAACAUAUGAAGUAGAAGGACUGGAACCUCCAGAAAAAGUACUUUAAGUUACCUACAGGUGAUCCUAGUCAGGUAUGAAUUGAUAAGAAAUGCCUGCACCUUCCCUCCUUCCUAUCUUUCCCUUGCCUACAGAAAAUUAAAAGGCAAAACAAUGGACAUCUACAUAUUCUUCAUUCAGAUCAACCAGCGGCUAGCAUUUGCCACCUUUUGCAGUUUCUUUCUCUUUCCAUAAGUACUUUCUUCUCUGAAUCAUUUGAAAGCAAAUGAAAACAGUAGCCUAAAGUGUCAGUUUCAACCAGAAAAUAACAGCUCUGAUUUCUCAUGGCUCACACUCUUCUGAAACGACUCAGGAAGAGGCUGAGGAAGGCCGUGUUGUUUGUCUACCUGGGACUACACCUACUGAAAGAAGUUCUCAAGUUCUGAUUGAGUUCUAAAAUUUUUUGAAGAUUGGAAUUCUUCAUAUGUAAGAACUCCAGCGCAUCUCAGACCACCAGAGCUCGGGCCACCAAGCUCUGCUACUGAGGGCUGCCCUCCUGCUUGCAGUGACACCACUAGCAGCGUAAGCUUCCAGAAGAGGAUGGUUCCACACACAGUGCCAGCUUCACCAGUCCUUCUGGGCACAAACACACCCAAGGGAUUCCUGCAUCGAGAAUGCAGGGUCUGAGUGGGCUCCAGCAUCUCUCCCUGUGGAUUCCAUGGCCCUUGUCCUCUCCAGGCCCAGGAAAUCCAGCACAAGACGUAGGGCCACCUUCCUUUUUCAACCUCCUGAAAUACCAGAGCAGCUCCCCUUCAAAUCAUCCCACCCCUUCAGAAGGGGCUCAGAUCUGGGAGGAAAAGGGCUCCCAGUGUGGGGCACUGUCACCCUCCACAGGCCACAGAGGACCCUCCUGGGAUGGGGAAAGAGAUGGGUGGGCUGGGUGGGGAGACUGUUUUCUGGUCACACCUGUUGCUCCCCAUUCUACCUCCCCCCACUUGAAUACAGACAAGGAGACCUCUUGCUAGAAAAGUGACAUCAUGGCAGGGCAUGGUGGGUCACACUUGUAAUCCCAGCACUUUGGGGGGCCAAGGCGGGCAGAUCACUUGAGGUCAGGAGUUCAAGACCAGCCUAGCCAACAUGGUGAAACCCCAUCUCCACUAAAAAUACAAAAAUUAGACUGGCGUGGUGGCAUGCACCUGUAAUCCCAGCUAGUCAGGAGGCUGAGGCACAAGAAUCGCUUGAACCCAGGAGGCGGAGGUUGCAGUGAGCUGAGAUUGUGCCACUGCACUCCAGUUUGGCCGACAGAGCGAGACUCUGUCUCAAAAAAAAAAAAAAAAAAAAAGUGACUGUAAGUUACAUGCCUAUAACUCUCCAUGCUACAAGCCAGGGAAACAGCGAGAGGCCACGUGCAGAUGGGAGUGGCCCCUUCCCACUCCCAAGAUCAAGAGCUCCUUAUGCAUCCACCAGCUUGUAGUCACUUGCUUCUUCUCACAGACGUUCCUGAGAGGAGAUUUCCCACCAGCCUGACAUAUUGUCGGGGAGAAAGUCACUUCCCAACCUUGCUUUAGGCCAGUGUUUACUGAGAGACAGGCAUGUGCCUCAGAAGGGAGAAAACUUCCUCCCAAAGCAUGUUAGUAUAUAAGUAUCUUCCAGCCAAUUUCUUUCCUUUGAAAAAACCUUACUGACCAAAAUUUUUCAAAAUAAAAAAAUUGGGGAGAGGAAGAUUCUAAGACAGUGCAGUAGCAAGUUCCAGAAAUCUGCCUCUUCACCUAGACAACAAUUGCGCCGGCAGAAUCUGUCUGAUGUGACUAUUUUGGCACUCUGGAGUCUAUUGACGGCUUCCAACUGUGGCUAAUUUGGGUCAGUUUCAGCUCUCAGCAGGCAGCAGCCACCCAUCUCCCAUCCCAUGCCCCUGGCAGGCAGCUGUGCACAUGUUCCUGGAGCAGCUUGCAGACAGCUGGUGGGUGGGAGCCGGGUGAACAAAAAGGACCCUGUCCUCCAAAUAUGGGAGGUCUGUGCUCUGCUCACUGAUUGCUGCUUCUGAUCACUGAGGUACAAAAAGGUGGUGGUUAUUGUAGUUGCACCUGCCCCCGAUGUUGCAAGCCCUGCCCCCUCUGACUGAAGUGACUUCCAGAGGAUUUAAGGACUGUGGGCCUGCCCCCACCUGGUUCACAUUUCUCUUUCUCCCCUCUUGGGAGGCAGACAUUGAAGACCAGAACAUUCAAAAGCAACUGCAUAUAUGGGGGAAAUUAGAGUCACCAUGUGUGCCCCAGGGAAGGCGCACGUUCAGAGAAGACUUGAGAAAACCUUAAGUUUAUAGCUCUGGCUGAUCAUUGGCACAGACUACAAAGAUUAAUUUUAAAAAAAAAAAGUCUGGCUGGGUGUGGUGGCUCACGCCCGUAAUCCCAGCACUUUAGGAGGCCAAGAUGGGUCGAUCACCUGAGGUCAGGAGUUUGAGACCAGCCUGGCCAAUAUGGUGAAACCCUGUCUUCUACUAAAAGUACAAAACUUGGCUAUGCAUGGUGGUUCAUGCCUGUAAUCCCAGCACUUUGGGAGGCUAAGGCUGGUGGAUCGCCUGAGGCCAGGAGUUCAAGACCAGCCUGGCUAACGUGGCGAAACCCCGUCUCUACUAAAAUUUAAAAAAUUAGCUGGGCAUGGUAGCACGUGCCUGUAAUCUCAGCUACUUGGGAAGCUGAGACAGGAAAAUUGCUUGAACCCAGGAGGCAGAGGUUGCAGUGAGCUGAGAUCACGCCACUGCACUCUAGCCUGAGCGACAGAGGAAGACUCCAUCUCCAAAAAAAAAAAAAAAUUAUCCAGGCGUGGUGGUGAAUACCUAUAGUCCCAGCUACUCUGAGAGAUGAGGCACAAGAAUUGCUUGAACCUGGGAGGUGGAGGUUACAGUGAGCCAAGAUCCAGCCACUGAACUCCAGCCUGGGUGACAGAGUGAGACUCUGUCUCCAAAAAAAGAAAGAAAGAAAGAAAGAAAACAGAUUGAAGAGGCCAGGCACAGUGGCUCACGCCUGUAAUCCCAACACUUUGGGAGGCUGAGGCGGGUGGAUCACUUGAGGUCAGGAGUUCAAGACCAGCCUGGCCAACAUGGUGAAACCCAGUCUCUACUAAAAACACACAAAAAAUUA